UGCUGAUCAGACAAACUACCAUUGGG
rnacentral:piRNA from 2 species